UGGCGGGCGGAAGGCAUCACUUUGUCCGGACUCUAAUUCAAAUUGUAUUCAUCCGAUCUUCACCAAACUUGGUCAGCAGUUGCAUCUAGUUGAUAUCUAGGCCAAGUUCGAAUAUGGGUCAUGCCGGGUCAAAAACUAGGUCAUAGGGUCAAUUAGUGCAUUUUCAACGGCGCCACUUUGUCCGGACUCUAAUUCAAAUUGUAUUCAUCCGAUC